GGGCACUUGGCACAGUGGUAGCGCGCACGCUUCGCAAGUUCUUGCAGCCCAGGUUGCAUUGUGCUAUGUAAUUGCGUGAGGUCCAGGGUUCAAUCCCCUGAGUGUCCA